rnacentral:tRNA from 1 species
GGAAGCGUGCCCGAAAUUAUAAGGACUACUUUGAUAGAGUAGACAAUAGAGGUUAAAUUCCCCUCACUUCC